GAAGUCGUUACUUUAACCCUUGUGGAGAAGGACGCCGAAGGUGGGGCUGAUGACUGGGGUGAAGUCGUAACAAGGUAGCCGUACCGGAAGGUGCGGCUGGAUCACCUCCUAACAGGGAGACAAUAAAUUGAUUGUGAUGUCUAAGUUAUUUAUUCUUAGGCCGCAAUCCUGUCACCUUAAGGUCGAUCGGUACCUCAGAUUUUUGAAUUAGUUUUACAAUUGAUUCUUUGAUUUCAGUUCCUAAACUUGUCUAGGUCACACCCAACAAAGGUUUCUCCUGGGCCAUUAGCUCAGGUGGUUAGAGCGCACCCCUGAUAAGGGUGAGGUCCCUGGUUCAAGUCCAGGAUGGCCCAUUCGUUGUUGGGGGUAUAGCUCAGUUGGUAGAGCGCCUGCUUUGCAAGCAGGAUGUCAGCGGUUCGAGUCCGCUUACCUCCACUGAAAACUAUCCUGAUAACUAAAUUCUGGAGAAAAAAAUUGUAGAUGUGGCUUAGAAUUGUCUAUUUGAAAAGAACCUAGCUUCUUAUCAUCUUUGUAAGUUGAUAAUAUGCUGGGCUCACAUGGAUUUAUUCCAUGAGAAUUCAGUAGAACCUUGAAAACUGCAUAGAUUAGAAAGAAUAAAGCAUCUCAUGGAUGCAUAAUUCUGAAUUAAUAAUUUGGCCUUAAAAACUAAAUUAUUUAAUUCUAGAAUUCAUGUUUAAAUCUUGAGUAAUAGCCGAGCACAAUUGAUUUUGUGAUUGUAUUAAAGGUCAAGCUACAAAGGGCUCAUGGCGGAUACCUUGGCACACAGAGGCGAUGAA
rnacentral:misc_RNA from 1 species